CUGAUAGAGAGACAGUGAGAGAGAGAGCAGUCUGAUAGAGAGACAGUGAGAGAGGGAGCAGUCUGAUAGAGAGACAGAGAGAGAGGGAGCAGUCUGAUAGAGAGACAGUGAGAGAGAGCAGUCUGAUAGAGAGACAGUGAGAGAGGGAGCAGUCUGAUAGAGAGACAGUGAGAGAGGGAGCAGUCUGAUAGAGAGACAGUGAGAGAGAGGGAGCAGUCUGAUAGAGAGACAGUGAGAGAGAGCAGUCUGAUAGAGAGACAGUGAGAGAGAGCAGUCUGAUAGAGAGACAGAGAGAGAGAGAG